ensembl:lncRNA
GGGGUGCAGUAGAUGCAAACUUUGUGUAUCAAACCAAAAAGAUCAAAAGAACUGUGGUAUAAUAAUUAUUUGCCUUGUUCUAUCAGAUUUGCACAAGGCCUGCGUCUACGUCAAGUGGACAUGAUCAAUGAUGACAUUUCUGGAAGCUCAGCAACCCUGUCCAAGAUGGCUCAAAAGCUAUGAGAUGUGUGCACUACUCCAAUGGACAGAUAUCAGCAAGCAAGAGGCCAGUACAUUGGGGGGCGGCAGCAGUUUGUCACCGUUGAUGAGAGACACUUCAGACACAAAAGAAAGUAUGGACGGGGACAAAUGGCUGGUCGCUGGAAGAGGAAGAAGUGGGUGUUUUGGAUGCUAAGUGUGAACCGGAGAGGGAGAAGACAUGCAAAGCCUGUUCUUCGCUUAGUCGAGAGAAGAAGAAGGAGAGAUCUGGUGCCAUUUAUAGCUCACCAUGUUAAAGUGGGAUCUACAAUAAUAAGUGAUGAGUGGCGGGCUUAUCGCAAUGCUUUACCUCAGCUAGGUUACACCCAUUUCACUGUCAAUCACAGUGUGUCAUAUGUCAAUGCCCAAACAGGUGCACGUACUCAGCACAUAGAGAGGGCCUGGAGAACGGUUAAGGGAAAUGUGUGGAGACUCAGGGGGAAUCAUACAGAGGAGUUACUGGUAGACCAUCUCAGAGUUAUUGAAUGGCAUGAGUGGCUUGCCCGUAAGCAUCGCAAAGGGCCGUUAGCAUGGAUAAUCCAUGACAUUGCUGUGAUGUAUGGACAUUAAAUGUCCCUCUGAAAUUCUGUUUAUCCAGUGUUUAGCACAAAAAGUGCCCAAACCUCAUGGGUUUGUAUACUGUUGUAUACUGCUGUUCUGCCAUGUGAUGGCUCAGUAUGUGUGUUUCUAUACAUUAAACACAAUGUUCAACAUUUCAUCUGUGAUGUUUCUUUGAUAAAAUACAGUACACAGAAAAGCCUAUGGGUGGAACAAGGUUGAGGUACAAAAAUUUGCUAUUUUAAAUAUCACAUCUAAUUUCUGUACCUUGAACUUGUUCCACCCAUUUGCUGUUCUACAAAGUUUCACUGGUAUAAACAAACUAUUAACAACUGAUCUGUAAAGUGUGAGUUAAUAUAUUAGUUAAGUAUUAGUUAUUAGCUUAUGUAUGUUAUUGGGACGUUAUGCUAACCCUGUAAGACCCAAUGUUGUAAUAUUACAACGUUACCUUUAGCCACCCUAAAAAACAAUCUGUUAUAUUUUAUCUUGUUUUUUAUCACAUUUAUCACAUUGGGUCCUAUUGUUCAGUCUUACGAUGCUAUUGGAUAGUACAUUUGUUUAUAAGUCCCGCCUCAUGGCCAUGAACUCACACAACCUCUCAUGGUUUCCUUCGGACAACAUUGCUUUGUUUCAUUGGACUAAUUUCAUCAGAUUCAAGUAAGUAAAAUGCCUUUUAUAUAUUUUUUUGUUGUUAUUACAAUGUCUAGAACAUGUACAUGUAGUUUUUGUAGAAUAGAUUCAUCAAAUUUCAAUUAGAGCAUGAUAAUGCAUGCGCAUUUCCCAGUGAAGACAGGGAGAGGAAGAUGCAGACACUGCACUAAAGGAUACACUAACAUGCAAUGCAGCAAGCGUGAUGUUCACCUUUGCUUUUCAGAGGACAAGAACUGUUUUUGGGACUUUUACUAUGAAUGAAAGUCAGCCAUGAAAAGAAAAAAAGGAAUGAAGAAGUCACUAGAAAAGCUGUUUAAUAAAAAAAAUAUAUACAUAUAUAUUCUUCAUAAAAAUAUGAAUGUGUGAUUAUUAUUAAUGUUAUAUACCUUUAUGGGGCUAAGUAAGCAAUCAACUUUGCAAAUGAACCCUUAGUUGUUCUGAAUUGUUGUUCAGAGAACAUGAGUACACAUACAGAAAUUCUGCUCCUACCUAAGCCCAACGUUGCAAUAUUACAACAUUUCUCCAAAAAUGUACAUAAACACUUUUUAUAAAAAAAAGUCUUUCAUUUCUGCAUAAGAGGCCUCCUACAACAACAUCUGAAGGGUCAAAAAAAUGUCUUUUAGGUUUUUCUAUAUUUGGGUCUUACAGGGCUAAAGUUGCAACUAUUCCUCAUUUACUAACAGUUAAUAAAUGAGGAAUAGUUGCAACUUUAGAAUAACGUCCCAAUAACAUAUAUAAACUAUUUAACAAGUUAUUAGUAAGUAAUUCACUAAUAGCUUGUUCAUGAUCUAUUACUAAUUUAUAAGGUAUAGUUAUAAAUCAUUAACAUACAGUUAACAAGUCAUUUAUAACUCAUUAACUAACAGCUUGUAAGUUAUCUAUGGCUAUCUAUAAGGCACAGUUAUAAAUCCUUAACAAACUGUUAACAAACACUUAAAAAAGUCAUUAAUAACGCAUUAAUUAACAGUUUACUAAUGAUCUAUUAACUAGUUAUAAUGGAUAGUUAUUAUAAACUGUUACCAAAUAACUUAUCACAUUCAGAUGCCUCACCCUUUAAACAUGGACAUAUCUUUUCAAAGUGACAAGACGCAUCCCUCUAAUUUUGUAGUCUGCCAGUGGGUAGGUAUCAUGUAGUUCCUGUGGCUCAACAAGCUCCACUUCCUUGCUUGGCGAUGUUUUGAGAUCAUACGCUCUGUAGUGUUCCAUAUACCAUCCACUAAGCUUCUUCACAAUGAAGAUUAGUUUGUCAUGCAGAAUAACCAUUUUGGAUGAUAUCAUUAAACUCUGGCAGUUCUCCAAGUGAGCCGUGGAUCAAGAUCAUCCCACACUUGUAGUUAAGUCCAUUAUAUGCUACACUUUUAGCCAAGCACACACUGUCGAUAUCUGGAGACUUCUGUCUCAGUGCAUUUGAGAUGUCUUUGUUAAGAACAUCAAUGUGAGUCUGUCUUGAAGCAAAACCCAAAUGCCCAUAUGUACAUUGAAAGCAUUAUUUUUUGUUGCAAUAGGUUCCUCUGUCAAUACUAGUACGUUUAAGAGAUCUAUUUUUGAAAGCAAUUUUACUAUAUACAAAAUUGUACUACAAUUUUUCCAAAACUAAUAGUACUGUACAUUAAAAGUUAUUGUUACAGCUUUAAACAAGCCUGUAAACAAUCAACUGCAUUUCACCUGUACGAUUAAUGUUGAAAUUACUUUCAUUUUUCAAAAUUUUUCUCACUUCAACACACAGUCCUGUAAGUUACAUGCAGCCAUAUUUCAGCCUGUUCUGUAGCACUCUAUUCUAUUAUAGGAGCGCAACUUACCUUAAGUAUUCCAAAUGAGUUGUGUCCUGGCCUGAAGUAACCACCGCCAGUCAUGAAAAAAAAAUCCAGGAAAAUUAGAAAUCCAUUAACGAAAAGGAAUUUUUCAUUCCAGUGUUAUUUUUGAUUUGUGUAUGGUUAAGGAGUAUAAAUACAUAACUGUCACUGCUUAUUACCCCACCUGGUAACUGACUUAGGACAGGGAAUACAGGAGUCUGCAGCAGCAGACACAAACUAACACAGGUGCUUUUUAACACACUGUCACAACAACACUGGGCUAGGAAACUCUUCACACAGCAAAUAUUUAUUACCACUACCUCAAUAAGCCCUGCCACGAGAAACCGCACACCAUCACCCCCUCCCCCACAGCCGAUCCGUGCGUGUACGAGCGCUGCACGCACCCCCUUUCCUCUCCUCCUCGCCCUCUUAACGUUAAUAGGUACAUUCAGGGUUCGUACAUAUUGUUCAAGGUCAAAUUCAAGCACUUUUCAAGCACUUUUAAGGGUCAUUUUCAAAAUUUUCCAGCACCUUAUCACUGUGGUAAAAUAUAUAUGUACAGGAAUAUAUAUACUCAUGAUAUAUAUAUAUUUGUUUUCAUUUUUUAAUCACAAUUAUGCACAUUGUAUUAUGCUGUAAACAUCUAAAAUUAUGUUUCAUAAUUGCAAAAUCUUUAGAAACUAGAACUGCAAGCAGUUAUGAACGAGGGCCAAGCCCCCCGGCGCGACUCGGACCCGGCACACAGCAGAGCCCACGGAAGUUGGCCCCAAAGGAUGACUGGCUCGGUGCAAAAGUGAGGACACAGGUCAACGUCUGAGCCAUGGGAUUCACUGUAAUGGGAAGUGCACCGGAAGUGCAAAAGGCUGAAUGUGUGCCGAUUUGGAUUUGUUGUACUAAAUCACACCCACUUUGACCAAUCGUUACUUAACUAUAUGGCUGGCCUCAGGAGUGACGCUACAUCAGUACUGUUUCAUUACAUUUCUAUUAUUGCAACAAAAAAUGAGAGUGACAAGGAAAAAUGCAUUUCUUUUAACUGCAACGCCACCUGGUGGUGCAUACAUAUAUAACACGAGCAAGUCAAUACUUGGCUGUAAUAAACUGAAAACAUAAUAGAAAACAGACUUUAGUUGGUUACAACUACUGUAAGUGGCUUUCACAGCUCAUAUAUAUCACCACAUGAACAACAUGAAUUAUUUCCCCUGAGGUUGUGUCAUCAGAUUUCUUGUUGGGGAAAAAAGGUAUAAAAGUGUUUUUUGUCAGCUGCUGGACUUGUGAAGGAAUCUAAAACUGGCUGUCAUGAAAGAUACACACAAAGAUACAGUAAUCCUUAUAAGGAGGCACAAACUUAACACAUACAGACACUGUCUUCUUGUCAUGUCUUACCAUGCUCAGUAUACUGCCUGUACAUAAUUGAACAACAUAAAAUCCUCACUGUAAAUAAUAUAUAAUUAAACAUAUAUUUACAAUA